rnacentral:rRNA from 1 species
GAUGAACGCUAGCUACAGGCUUAACACAUGCAAGUCGAGGGGAAACGAUAUUGGAAGCUUGCUUCCGAUAGGCGUCGACCGGCGCAAGGGUGAGUAACGCGUAUCCAACCUGCCCAUCACUUGGGGAUAACCUUGCGAAAGUAAGACUAAUACCCAAUGAUAUCUCUAGAAGACAUCUGAAAGGGAUUAAUGAUUUCUCGGUGAUGGAUGGGGAUGCGUCUGAUUAGCUUGUUGGCGGGGUAACGGCCCACCAAGGCGACGAUCAGUAGGGGUUCUGAUAGGAAGGUCCCCCACAGAGGAACUGAGACACGGACCAAGCUCCUACGGGAGGCAGCAGUAAGGAAUAUUGGUCAAUGGACGAUAGUGUGAACCAGCCAAGUAGCGUGCAGGAUGACGGCCCUAUGGGUUGUAAAAUGCUUUUAUAAGGGAAUAAAGUGAGCCUCGUGAGGCUUUUUGCAUGUACCUUAUGAAUAAGGACCGGCUAAUUCCGUGCCAGCCGCCGCCGUAA